CAUGACAUUCUAGAAUGUCAGGUACAACAGAGACAGCUGUUUGUCCCCCAGUAUCCUUCAGACAAAGCCAUAUAUGAUUGAAGGUUAUCAGUACUGUGCUUUUGGAGGAUUCAGAAGAAGUUAUAUCUGAUUGGGAGAUUGAAAAGGAUUGGCCUGAAGGAGAGGUGGUUUUUGAACUGCAUCUUAAAGGAUGAGGAAACUGAGGCUGAGAGGGUAGAGAACUUUGCCUGAGGUCACUCAGCAGGGACCCACCCAUCACAGUAAAUGCCAGCACUGCUGAUGCCAAAACAAUGUUAUUUGUAGGCCCUCGGAAUUUGUGACCUGAAGGAAGAAGAGCAGGGCCGUGGGAAGUAUGUAACCAGUGUCAUGCCCCUGGUCCCAAGGAAGCAGUGGCUUGGUAAAGAGGGGACCCCCGUCAAUAACUCCCUGUAAUUACUGGGCACCCACUCUGAGCUCCUCAGUGGAAUCCUAAGGUUAAUAAGACUGUCUCUAGCCACUGGGGCUCCCAGCCUGGAGUGAGGUAAGAGGAGUGGAGCCGGCUGGGGAGGGAGACGAACACAUACACAGAAGAUUCAGACACACUUGCAAUGUAUUGCUGGGGAUUCUCCAGCAUUGGCAUGAUGGAGAGGGUGGAGAAUCAUUUGACCGCCUCCGCCUAGGAUUGCAGAGUUCAGCUGGCCAUCAUCCACCAGCCGGGGGACUGUGCACAUCAGUUAACCUCUCCUCUCAGGCCUUGAAAAGCACCAGGCUUAGUACACGUUUGUUAAAUGAAUGCACUGCAGUUUUUUUGCUUGUUAAAGGCAGGUAAUAAUAAUGAUAUUGCUGACUAAGGGCUCCCAUCCACUCCCAGUGAGCCCGGUGCCCCCCCGGGCCUCCUCAGUGAGCUGAGGAGGCUCAGCAGUGCCUGCACGUCCCCUCGCCACAAUGUCAUGUGCCACCUCUUCAAAGGAGGGAUGUACCAGCUAGUGGACGUGACCUUGACUGCAAAGGGCGGCACGCAGCUGAUGUAAUGGUCGCUUAAGUGUUCACAAAUGCCUGAACACCCUGUCCUACCUGGUCCUACCUGGAUGCUGGCCUCAGUAAGCUCCUGGGCUCAUUGAAGAUGAACCUAGCAGUAGUAUUUACACCACUUGUUGUGUGCCCACUGUGGGCCCGGCGCCAUGCCGAGUGCUCUAUGGAUGUGAGAGAAACGGAGGCCCAGAAAGCAGAAAUGAUGUGUUAAGAUCACUCAUCAAGCUGAUGGUACAGAGGUUAGAGCCUCUGCUCCCUGCUCUACCUCUUUCCCUUACUCCACAUCCAUGCCUGUCUCUUCCAAUGGGUCGGCAUCCACCCUGACACAUUAAAGCCAAAAGGAACCUUAAGCUAGGGAAGGGGCUCCAGAACUUUAGUGAAAGAUUCAAACAUGUCCACUCAACUCAAUGGAGAAAAUACAAUAUUCAAUCAAUGGU
ensembl:lncRNA LINC02395 long intergenic non-protein coding RNA 2395